rnacentral:rRNA from 1 species
GACGUAGGGUGCGAGCGUUGUCCGGAUUUAUUGGGCGUAAAGAGCUCGUAGGCGGCUCGUCGCGUCGACCGUGAAAACCCGCGGCUUAACUGCGGGCUUGCGGUUGAUACGGGCGGGCUAGAGUUCGGUAGGGGAGACUGGAAUUCCUGGUGUAGCGGUGAAAUGCGCAGAUAUUGGGAGGAACACCAGUGGCGAAGGCGGCUCGCUGGACCGGUUCUGACGCUGAUGCGCGAAAGCGUGGGGAGCAAACGGG